CUCCUAAUGAUCAAACACUACCCCAGACAUCCUUUUAGAAGGGGAGCUCAUUAACAGACCUAAGAAGGAUGCUUGCCCAGGAAGGCCCAUACACAGCUGCAGCAGGUUGAGUUGCCUAAACCCGUGGGAAUAAUGUAACUCAAAGCAAUGGACGUAACUACUACUUGUCCAGAGAUCUGAUGUUGCUCAAGAGGAGAUGUGCAAGGCACUUCAGAGGAAAAUCAUGCAUUGUAUGUGGAUGCUGAGGGAGAGGAUAGCCCUGCACAUGAGGUGUGGCAGCAGGACAUCAGCAGGAGGCUCACAGCAGGAAGAUGAUGGGCCCAGCAGUGCAUCUUCCGACGAACCAAGCAAAGGGCAGCAAAGAUCCCUGAAAGGGCUGUUGUCUGCAUUGCAAGUGUUGCUCUGUGUCUGA
rnacentral:lncRNA from 1 species